rnacentral:tRNA from 1 species
GCGGGCGUAACUCAAUUGAUAGAGUGUCAGCCUUCCAAGCUGAAUGUUGAGGGUUUGAAUCCCUUCGCCCGCU